UACGAAGGAUUCGAGCGUUAUCCGGAUUUAUUGGGUUUAAAGGGUGCGUAGGUGGCUUAAUAAGUCAGUGGUGAAAGCCCGAAGCUCAACUUCGGAACUGCCAUUGAUACUGUUAAUCUUGAGUACAAUUGAAGUGGGCGGAAUGUGUCAUGUAGCGGUGAAAUGCUUAGAUAUGACACAGAACACCGAUUGCGAAGGCAGCUCACUAAGUUGUAACUGACACUGAGGCACGAAAGCGUGGGGAGCAAACAGG
rnacentral:rRNA from 1 species